CUUUAGGUAAUCUUUAGAGUUAUGGCUAUAGCCGUAAAAUUUAACUUAGAGUUUAUGGUUUAAGAUGUAGAUUGAUGAGAUUAGAUUAAAAAAAAAAUAUGGUGAAUAAUUGCAAAUUAAUUAAGUCUAGCUAAACAGAGUAUCAAUAAUAAUAUGUUUUAUAUCAAACAAAAAUACUAUAUUGCUCUUGGAAAGUUAAAUUUUACGACUAUAGCUGUAACAACAAUGACUUUAAUUAAUUAAAGAGAAAAAGCCAUUUUCACUCCUAUAGUUUGAUACAAUACCCUAUUUCAUCCUUAUUAUUUAAAUAAUAACUUAUUUCCUCCAUACUUUUUAAACAAUAAACUAAAACUGUUAGCCUAUAUGACUAUAUAGCAUUUUGAUUUUGAUAAUAACAAAUCAUGACCUAAUGGGUAAUAUUGGAAAUACUUAUUAUGUUUUUAAAACAAGAAAAUGAAUGAUGAUUUCUCAAAGUUCUUAAAGUAUUUUCUAUAUAUUUUUUAAAGGAAAAUUCUUAUAUGAGAAUGCGAUUUUAUAAUCUAAUUAAAUGCUAGUUUUCGUAAGAUACAAUAUUUUAUUGAUAAAUGACAUCCCACUUAAGAAAACCAGCAAACUAGAUUCAGAAAAUGUGCUUAUUGGAGAUAAUUGGCUAACCCAAAUGUGCAAAACAGAAAAUCUGUUGCUUAAAUUGAACUCUCUGGAAUCAAACGAGAUACCGAUUACCGAUAAAUGGUAAACUGAUUAUAUCAAUUGAGCUUUUUAGAAUCAAAUGGCAUAUCGGUUAGCAAUAAACGAUAAAUCAAUUAUAUCAACUGAGCUCUCUAGAAUCAAACGACAUCCUUGUUACCAAUAAACGGUAAAACGAUUAUAUCAAUUGAGCUUUUUGGAAUCAAACGGCAUACCGGUUACAAAUAAAUGGAAAUGUGGUUAUUCAAAAUUUAAAUUUCGGCUACAACGGCAAACUCAAGAGGCAAUUUGGUUAGGAAAAAUGACAAACUGAUUAUGAUCGAAAAGUCAAUAACGGCUAGUUUUGUGACUCUAUAUAGAAAUAGUUGAAAAAGACACCAUUGCAAAGAAUGCUGAACGAUUUGGCAAUCUUUAUUUGUAUUCAAAAGUGUUCUAAAUUUACAUCUUGUACACAUACACAUAUUUGAGCUAUCAUUUGAUUAUAUUUAGUUGGGAAUGUGUAUAUCUUUGUUCUUCAUUUCAAUAUAAAAGAUUAAGGGAUUGUAAGUGUGGAAACACUUGGUAAGAGGUGAGAGAUUCAUCUUAAGAUUGUAAAGGUUGAUUGACACCUCAAAAGUCAAUUGUAAAGAUUUUGAAGCCUUAAGGUGUAAGGUUUUGAUGGUGAAAUCCGCAAGCCCGGUGAACUUAGAGACGUGGACAUAGGCGGAGUUUACCAAACCACGUAAAGAUCUCCCAUUCAAUUCUCUUUUUCUUCUCUCUUUAUAUUUUGAUUGUUAAUAUUUAUUUGAUCGUUAUUUACUUAACUUAUUAGAUAUUUGAAUUGAGUUUUGUUUUAAUCACUUAAUAAUUUUUAGAAACCCAAUUCACCCUUCUCUUGGGUUGCAUAGUUAGUAUUUCAGAAACACCCUUCUAUUAAUUUACAGUUUAAUUCAUUGAGGGUAAAGUAGGAUUUUCAAUUAAAGAUAUACAAAUUAUUUUAAAAUAAACUCUCAAGCACGAUUAAAUAACAUCUGACAUUUUGCAUAAAUUUAAAUUUUAAAAAUAACUUAAUGAAUAAACAAUAAAAACACUAAAUAAUAUGUCAAAUAUGUAUUUAGACAAAAUUAAAAAAAAAGAUUUCACAAACACUAGGGUAAGGUUUCUUUUUGUCCUUUAGCUUGUCAUAUGGUCAAAAUAAAUAAAUAAAUAGUUAGUACUAUUAUUUUACCAAAAAAAUACAUAAACUCCUU
rnacentral:lncRNA from 1 species